rnacentral:misc_RNA from 1 species
GCUAGACUGCAAGCUUCUUAACUCAACUCACUGGGACCAAAGGAUUAAUCCUUCUUAAUUUGCACCCUCAAUACCACCAUGCGAAUCUGAAUCUCAUCUCAACGAAGAAAAUUGCGACCAACACAGAUAAAGUAGUUGCUCCCAAAUCGGAAGACUCCUGCACCACCUGAUAUUGGAAGGGAUGACCACAUCCGGUUAGGGGAAG